CCUACGGGAGGCAGCAGUGGGGAAUUUUGGACAAUGGGCGCAAGCCUGAUCCAGCAAUGCCGCGUGAGUGAAGAAGGCCUUCGGGUUGUAAAGCUCUUUUGUCAGGGAAGAAACGGUGGGGGCUAAUAUCUCCUACUAAUGACGGUACCUGAAGAAUAAGCACCGGCUAACUACGUGCCAGCAGCCGCGGUAAUACGUAGGGUGCAAGCGUUAAUCGGAAUUACUGGGCGUAAAGCGUGCGCAGGCGGUUUUGUAAGUCUGUCGUGAAAGCCCCGGGCUCAACCUGGGAAUUGCGAUGGAGACUGCAAGGCUUGAAUCUGGCAGAGGGGGGUAGAAUUCCACGUGUAGCAGUGAAAUGCGUAGAGAUGUGGAGGAACACCGAUGGCGAAGGCAGCCCCCUGGGUCAAGAUUGACGCUCAUGCACGAAAGCGUGGGGAGCAAACAGGAUUAGAUACCCUGGUAGUCCACGCCCUAAACGAUGUCUACUAGUUGUCGGGUUUUAAUUAACUUGGUAACGCAGCUAACGCGUGAAGUAGACCGCCUGGGGAGUACGGUCGCAAGNUUAAAACUCAAAGGAAUUGACGGCGUGAGACGUGCCGACGGACGACGACGAGGGAGGUUAGG
rnacentral:rRNA from 1 species